ACUGGUGGCCGGGCGGGAUGUAACCGGCUGCUGAGCUGGCAGUUCUGUGUCGCUAGGCUUCUGCCCGGCCGCCGCCGCACAUAAGCCACGAGGAGGAGCUUUACGACUUCCCGGUCUUCGGCGCCGGGCGCAGCAAGGGCCAGACUCUGCGCUAGCAGGCGCUGCGCGCCAACCGGCCGGCACCUGUCGCAGAAGGUGCAACCGAUCGCACUGUCGCGCAGAAGCUCCUCAAUGGCCAGCGCCAGCUGCAGCCCCGGCCGCCCACUCGCCUCAUCUGAGCCUGGAGACAGAUCUCAUUAUGUUGCCCAGGGUGAUCCUUGAUCUCCUGGCCUCAAGUGAUCCUCCAACCUUGGUCUCCCAAAGUGCUGGGAUUACAGAUGUGAACUACCACACCCAGUCAACGUGCAGAAGGUUUUCAGUUUGAUGUAGUCUGAUGUAGUCUCAUGUAUUUAUCCUUCUUGUUGUUGCCUGAGCUUUUGGUGUGAUAUCCAAAAAUAUCAUUGCCAAGAUCAAUAUCAAGAAACUUUCCCCCUAUGUUUCUUACAGAAAUUUUAUGGUUUCAGAUUUUUCAUCCAUUUUGAGUAUAUUUGUGUGUAUGAUGUAAGAUAAGGGUCCAGUCUCCCCAGUGUUGGAUAUCCAAUUUUCAUAACACCAUUUAUUGAAGAGAUUAUUCUUUCUCCACUGUGUUUUCUUGAUGUCCUUGUCAAAAAUUAGUUGACUUUUAUAUGCUUGGGUUUAUUUCUGGGCUCUAUUCUGUUUCAUUGCUUUACAUCUCUGUUUUCAUGCCAGUGCCACAGUGUUUUGAUUACUAUAGCUUUGUAAUAUAAUUUGAAAUCAGAAUGUGUAAUACCUAUAACUUUGUUUUUUGCUCUAAAGAUUUAUUUAUUUAUUUAUUUUUGCCAUUUCAGGUCUUUUGUGGUUUCAUAUGAAUUUCAGAAUUGUUUUUCCUAUUUCUGUGAAAAAUGCCAUUGACAUUUUGAUAGGGAUUGUGUUGAAUCUAUAUAUUGCUUUGGAUAGUAUGGAUGUUUUAACACUAUUAAUUGUCCCAAUCCAUGAACAUGAAAUAUCUUUCCAUUCA
ensembl:lncRNA LINC01409 long intergenic non-protein coding RNA 1409